UUACCAGACUCCUACGGGAGGCAGCAGUAGGGAAUUUUGCGCAAUGGGCGAAAGCCUGACGCAGCAACGCCGCGUGAUCGAGACGCCCUUCGGGGUGUAAAGAUCUGUCAGUGGGGACGAAACUUGACGGUACCUGACUAAGAAGCCCCGGCUAACUACGUGCCAGCAGCCGCGGUCAUACGUAGGAUCCGAGCAUUAUCCGGAGUGACUGGGUGUAAAGAGUUGCGUAGGUGGCAUAAUAAGUAGCUAGUGAAAUCUGGUGGCUCAACCAUUCAGACUAUUAGCUAAACUGUUAAGCUCGAGACCGUUAGGGGUAACUGGAAUUUCUAGUGUAGGGGUGAAAUCCGUAGAUAUUAGAAGGAACACCAAUAGCGUAGGCAGGUUGCUGGGACGGUUCUGACACUAAGGCACGAAAGCGUAGGGAGCAAACGGGAUUAGAUACCCUAGUAGCC
rnacentral:rRNA from 1 species